CAUGCAGUCGAACGAAAGCCCUUCGGGGCGAAAGUGGCGAAAGGGCGAGUAAUACGAUCGAACGUACCCCAAGGUGGAGGAUAGUGUCGGGAAACCGGCGGUAAUACUCCAUGUGCUCUUCGGAGGAAAGCUUUGGCGCCUCGGGAGCGGCGAUCGUCCUAUCAGGUAGUUGGUGAGGUAAAGGCUCACCAAGCCGAAGACGGGUAGCGGGUGUGAGAGCAUGACCCGCCGCAUCGGGACUGAGACACUGCCCGGACUCCUACGGGAGGCUGCAGCGACGAAUCUUCCGCAAUGGGCGAAAGCCUGACGGAGCAAUGCCGCGUGUGGGAUGAAGCAUCUUCGAUGUGUAAACCACUGUCAGAAUCUAGGAACACUGACCAGAUUCAAAGGAAGGGCCGGCUAAUUCUGUGCCAGCAGCCGCGGUAAUACAGAAGGCCCGAGCGUUAAUCAGAAUUACUGGGCUUAAAGCGUGCGCAGGCUGUCUAGAAAGUAUCCCGUGAAAUCCCUCGGCUCAACCGGGGAACUGCGGGGUAAACUGCUAGACUUGAGAAAGGUAGGGGCUGAUGGAACCAUGAGUGGAGCGGUGAAAUGCGUAGAUAUUCAUGGGAACGCCGAUGGGGAAGCCGAUCAGCUGGGCCUUUUCUGACGCUCAUGUACGAAAGCGUGGGGAGCAAACAGGAUUAGAUACCCUGGUAGUCCACGCCGUAAACGAUGUGCACUAGGUCGUGGCAACUCUGACGUUGUCGCGGCCGAAGGAAAACUAUUAAGUGCACCGCCUGGGGAGUACGGUCGCAAGGCUAAAACUCAAAGGAAUUGACGGGGGCUCACA
rnacentral:rRNA from 1 species